AUUGAACGCUGGCGGCAGGCCUAACACAUGCAAGUCGAGCGGAGCGGCGGACGGGUGAGUAAUGCCUAGGAAUCUGCCUGGUAGUGGGGGAUAACGUCCGGAAACGGGCGCUAAUACCGAAUACUAACAGAUGAGCCUAGGUCGGAUUCGCUAGUUGGUGGGGUAAGGGCCUACAAAGGCGACGGUCCCUAGCUGGUCUGAGAGGAUGACCAGCCACACUGGAACUGAGACACGGUCCAGACUCCUACGGGAGGCAGCAGUGGGGAAUAUUGGACAAUGGGCGCAAGCCUGAUGCAGCCAUGCCGCGUGUAUGAAGAAGGCCUUCGGGUUGUAAAGUACUUUCAGCUGGGAGGCGUUACCCGCAGAAGAAGCACCGGCUAACUCCGUGCCAGCAGCCGCGGUAAUAC
rnacentral:rRNA from 1 species